rnacentral:rRNA from 1 species
UCCGGUGGCGAUGCGCUUCGGGACACACCCGUACCCAUCCCGAACACGAUGUUAGACUGAAGCGGCCGAUGAUACUAUGCUGGGGACGGCAUGGGAAAGCAGGUGGCUGCCGGAG